UGCUGCACCCCGUGAACAAUAUUGUUAACAAGUUGUUGAACCAUCAACAUUGUUGCAACUUGUUGACAAUCAUGUUAACAACUUGUUAACAAUAUUGUUCACGGGGUGCAGCACAACAUUGUU